rfam:Papio anubis isolate 1X1155 chromosome 2, whole genome shotgun sequence.
GUCUACAGCCAUAUCACCCUGAACAUGCCCAAUCUCAUCUGAUGUUGGAAGCUAAACAGGGUCAGGCCUGGUUAGUACUUGGAUGGGAGAAAAUUAUUAUAGAAC